AGUGAACGCUGGCGGUAGGCCUAACACAUGCAAGUCGAACGGCAGCACAGUAAGAGCUUGCUCUUACGGGUGGCGAGUGGCGGACGGGUGAGGAAUACAUCGGAAUCUACUUUUUCGUGGGGGAUAACGUAGGGAAACUUACGCUAAUACCGCAUACGACCUACGGGUGAAAGCAGGGGAUCUUCGGACCUUGCGCGAUUGAAUGAGCCGAUGUCGGAUUAGCUAGUUGGCGGGGUAAAGGCCCACCAAGGCGACGAUCCGUAGCUGGUCUGAGAGGAUGAUCAGCCACACUGGAAGUGAGACACGGUCCAGACUCCUAAGGGAGGGAGCAGUGGGGAAUAUUGGACAAUGGGCGCAAGCCUGAUACAGCCAUACCGCGUGGGUGAAGAAGGCCUUCGGGUUGUAAAGCCCUUUUGUUGGGAAAGAAAAGCAGCAGGUUAAUACCCCGCUGUUCUGACGGUAACCAAAGAAUAAGCACCGGCUAACUUCGUG
rnacentral:rRNA from 1 species